UACGGGGGGGGCAAGCGUUGUUCGGAAUUACUGGGCGUAAAGGGUUCGUAGGUGGCCAACUAAGUCAGACGUGAAAUCCCUCAGCUUAACUGGGGAACUGCGUCUGAUACUGGUCUGGCUUGAGUGCAGGAGAGGAACGCGGAAUUCCAGGUGUAGCGGUGAAAUGCGUAGAUAUCUGGAGGAACACCGGUGGCGAAGGCGGCGUUCUGGACUGCAACUGACACUGAGGAACGAAAGCUAGGGGAGCAAACGGG
rnacentral:rRNA from 1 species